UUUACCUCUUUGUUAAUAUUUUUUUAGAUAAAGACCUCCUUAUUAAUAUGUCCUAAAAUUUGUAAAGUUAACUUUUUUUGGGGAAUGGAGGAAGUACCAUUUGUCAUAGAAGGACAACACCAAUAUUUACGAUAUGUAAUACUCUAGGACUUGAUGACCAAACAAAAAAAAAACUUCAUCCUACACGGGACCAACUUUAGGAGGAGAAACUGGUCAGCUUUCUCUAAAUAAAGGAGGAGGAUGUAGGAUUUGCUGAUCACUUCUCCAACCUUUGGGUAGUCUACGACUCUACGCUGUGUUCGUUUGUGCUUAGUGCAGCUCUGGAGCACCCAGCAAGCAAUAACUACAGUGGAUUUUGCUUGUUGACUGCCGCAGCUGAAGGGAACCGGCUGUCUAGAAAAUAAAAAAUUGUGGGCUAAAAAUAUUGAGUUCGUUACACCUAGCCACCAGUACAUUUUGCCCUUUCUUUUCCGCCAUGUCUCAACAAAGCACCGCUGCAGCCUGCAGAAGAUCAGCAUCGUAACUAGGUGGAGGAAAAAUUGGUUCUCUAGCGUUCGAAGAACACGACUUGCGGAAAAUACCAUCAAAAAACUUCCGUUACGUAAAAUACCAUCGUAAGAUAAAACAUUAGCUGGAUCUAGCAUUCUGUGACAUUUGGACGUUACCGCCGUGAAUUGGCAACGAUUGACAUCUGCCGUCUCCCUCCUCGCCGUGCUCACCGUGGCCGUGCCGCGCGGCUCCUUCAUCUCCGGGCCACCUCUGCACGCGCGGCGCGCUGGCAUGGUUCCUGUUUCUUCUAGCCAUCACCGCACUGUGCCGUCAUGGACAUCCCCGACGCCCUCGCAUGGCUCGGGCGCCCUCCACUGCUAACAGCCCCUCCCACCGAGCUGCAGCAGGCGGCGCUGGGAGCGGAGGCAGAGCAGAGCACAUGCGGCAGCAGAGUAGAGCAGCGGAGAAGAGGAGGUGCUGACGCUCACUACGCUAUCGUGAAGGGGCACCAGCAGCAGCAGCAUUCCUCUCCCCUGCUGCUGCUGCCCAAUAAACGCCGCUUCACCGCCCUCGCCGCCGCCGUGCCGACGCUUGUCGUCCGCUCCAUCCUACUCCCGCUGGUCUUCCUCCUCAGUCUCCACUCUCCACCGCCCCGGUGUGUACGCUGCCUCCUCUAGGGCCUCGGAUCUGUUCGCCUUUCUUGCUUACCCCACUAACCGUGUUGCUCUGUCAUUCCUGGAGGCUAUGAAUCGGAGGAGCGCGCUACGAUCGUCAUCACUCAUCAGCACCGUAAGAAAAUUAGAAAUCAGCUGGAUCCCUCACCCACCGCGCAAGAAGCUUCCACAUGUGCUCGGACGGCUUGGGGAGGUUGCAGAUUGUCUCGAUGCCUGGACUUGCCAUGCCCUGCGGGACCUCAGCCUCAGCUCGUCAAGGAAAAACGAAGAACCUGCAGGGUCUUCCAAGUAGGCAAGAACAAUAACAAUUCAGAUGUUCAAGUCGUGGCCAAGCCAACCAGGCUGCUGCUAGCCUGCUACACGUCCUCAAGCGCUACAAAAAAUUGGAAAUAAUCUCAUGGACAUGGCAGUUCGACGAGAAAAGCCGAGCGGGAGGCGGAAAACGUACACAUGCUGCAGUUUGAUGAGAAGAGAGCCGAGUGGGAAGCCAGAAGAAGCAGGAACCAUGCUAGCGCGCAGUGGGUGCAGAGGUGGCCUGGAGAUGAAGGAACCGCGCGGCAUGGCCAGUUGGCCACGGUGAGCACGGCGAGGAGGGAGGUGCCUUACGGCAGAUGUCAAUCGUUGCUAUUAACGCCCAAACGUGACACAAUGCAAGAUCCAGCUAACAUUUUAUCUUUUGAUGGCAUUUUACGUAACGGAAGUCUUUUGGUGAUA